UUCGUAGGCGGUUUGUUAAGUCUGACGUUAAAGAUCAGGGCUCAACCCUGGGAUUGCUUCGGAUACUGGCAGACUGGAGUAUGGUAGAGGUAAGUGGAAUUUCUGGUGUAGCGGUGAAAUGCGUAGAUAUCAGGAAGAACACCGGUGGCGUAGGCGACUUACUGGGCCAUAACUGACGCUGAGGAACGAAAGCCAGGGGAGCGAAUGGGAUUAGAUACCCCAGUAGUCCUGGCUGUAAACGAUGGAUACUAGGUGUAGCGGGUAUCGACCCCUGCUGUACCGCAGCUAACGCGUUAAGUAUCCCGCCUGAGUAGUACGGCCGCAAGGUUGAA
rnacentral:rRNA from 1 species